rnacentral:sRNA from 1 species
AGACAUGUGACCUAAGGAUUCAUAUUCCC